AUAAGCAGCUACUUAUUGUUCAUUUUGCAUACAACGAUCAUGUAAGUAAAUAUUAUUAAUUUUUUUUGCUGUUUUUUUUAUUUUCUUUUUAUUAUUUUCUCAAAAUAAUAGUAGACUUUCCCUUUCAUUUACGUUUUGAUGAGUAGCAAAUCGGAAGCUAUCUAUACUCAUUUGUUUCAAUUUAUUGAAUCAAUUUUUUUCAAAUUUCAACCUCAUGAGUUCACGACAGAUUUUGAAACUGCUAUGCGAAACGGGUUAAGGAAUGUUUUUCCUUUGUCUUCAUUUAACACCUGCUGGUUUCAUUACACCCAGGCGUUGAGAACAAAAUAUUGCAAAAUUCAAAUUUUUUUUUCAUUUAAUGUACAAAUAAUAUUUCAAAAAAUAUUAACGUCAUCAACUAUCAAAUAUUCUCACUGGAUUUAAUUUGAUAAAAUCAGAAAUUGACAACCAAGCACUUGCACGAAAUGAAAUAAAUGCUUUUAAGGAGUUCUUCACAUAUUUUAAAAACAAUGGAUUGAAAAGGCAAAUUGUGCAAAAUUCGACGACUGUAUACUGUUAAAAGAAAAACUUGUACUAUAUUUUCUAUAUUUGGUAAUGAAUUUUUGACUUAUUGUUUUGUUUGACUUAUGUUAACUUCAUAUGAUUAUGUUAACUUAAAAUGUUAAUUUACAAAUGUAAAUUUUGUUGGGUUUUUUUAACCCACAGUGAAAUUUUGUACAAAUGUGUUUGUUUGUUUUUAUUUUUGUUUGAAUAAAGAUUUAAUUUAGCAUA